rnacentral:rRNA from 1 species
AGUUUAAAGUUACCUUUUUAAAUGAAUCCUGCCCAGUGUUUAUUAAUAAAUGGCCGCAGUACCCUGACUGUGCUAAGGUAGCAUAAUCAAUUGGCUUCUAAUUAGAGUCUGGAAUGAAUGGAGAAAUGAAGUAAUUCUGUCUUGAGAAUAUUUUUUUGAAUUUAAUUAAUAGGUGAAAAUGCCUAUUUUUAGAAAAAAGACGAGAAGACCCUUAGAAUUUUUAUUAUAAGAUUUUUUUUCUACUAUUUUUGUUGGGGCGACAAUUAAGCAUUUAAACCUUAAAUUAUUAUAAAACGAAAUUGUUAUAGAAGAAAAAGUUACCUUAGGGAUAACAGCAUUAUUUUAUAAAGUUUGUGACCUCGAUGUUGGACUAGGAACUUUAUGGCUAGCAGUCUAAAAAGAUUUGUUCUGUUCGAACAAUAAAAUCCU